UACGAAGGGGGCUAGCGUUGCUCGGAAUUACUGGGCGUAAAGCGCACGUAGGCGGAUCUUUAAGUCAGGGGUGAAAUCCCGGAGCUCAACUCCGGAACUGCCUUUGAUACUGGGGAUCUUGAGUUCGAGAGAGGUGAGUGGAACUGCGAGUGUAGAGGUGAAAUUCGUAGAUAUUCGCAAGAACACCAGUGGCGAAGGCGGCUCACUGGCUCGAUACUGACGCUGAGGUGCGAAAGCGUGGGGAGCGAACAGG
rnacentral:rRNA from 1 species